rnacentral:rRNA from 1 species
CGGCAGCACGGGAGCUUGCUCCUGGUGGCGAGUGGCGAACGGGUGAGUAAUGUAUCGGAACGUACCCAGUCGUGGGGGAUAACUCUCCGAAAGGAGAGCUAAUACCGCAUACGUCCUGAGGGGGAAAGCGGGGGACCUGCAAAGGCCUCGCGCGAUUGGAGCGGCCGAUAUCGGAUUAGCUAGUUGGCGGGGUAAAGGCCCACCAAGGCGACGAUCCGUAGCGGGUCUGAGAGGACGACCCGCCACACUGGAACUGAGACACGGUCCAGACCCCUACGGGAGGCAGCAGUGGGGAAUUUUGGACAAUGGGGGCAACCCUGAUCCAGCCAUUCCGCGUGAGUGAAGAAGGCCUUCGGGUUGUAAAGCUCUUUCAGCAGGAGCGAAACGGUCGUUUUUAAUACAGACGGCUAAUGACGGUACCUGCAGAAGAAGCACCGGCUAACUACGUGCCAGCAGCCGCGGUAAUACGUAGGGUGCGAGCGUUAAUCGGAAUUACUGGGCGUAAAGCGUGCGCAGGCGGCGACAUAAGACAGAUGUGAAAUCCCCGGGCUCAACCUGGGAACUGCGUUUGUGACUGUGUUGCUAGAGUGUAGCAGAGGGGGGUGGAAUUCCACGUGUAGCAGUGAAAUGCGUAGAUAUGUGGAGGAACACCGAUGGCGAAGGCAGCCCCCUGGGUUAACACUGACGCUCAUGCACGAAAGCGU